AUGGAUGGGCUCACCAUGGGGCUUCCAUGGAAGGACCGUACCAGGAUCCUCGCCGAGCAACAUUCCGCGCUAGCACACCUCCACUCCAGCCGCCCCCACGCCAUCAUCCACGCGGACCUGAAGCUGAUGACCAUCCUCCUCGGUGCACGGAACGUGAGCCGGCUAGGGGACUUCGGCACGGCGCGCAUUGUGCAGAUGUAA
rnacentral:rRNA from 1 species